UACGUAGGGUGCAAGCGUUGUCCGGAAUUAUUGGGCGUAAAGAGCUUGUAGGCGGUUUGUCGCGUCUGCUGUGAAAUUUCGGGGCUCAACCCCGAACUUGCAGUGGGUACGGGCAGACUAGAGUGUGGUAGGGGAGACUGGAAUUCCUGGUGUAGCGGUGAAAUGCGCAGAUAUCAGGAGGAACACCAGCGGCGAAGGCGCUGCUCUGGGCCGGUACUGACGCUGAGGAGCGAAAGCGUGGGGAGCGAACAGG
rnacentral:rRNA from 1 species